UACAGAGGUCCCAAGCGUUGUUCGGAUUCAUGGCGUAAAGGGUGCGUAGGCGGCGUGGUAAGUCAGCUGUGAAAUCUCCGAGCUUAACUCGGAACGGUCAGCUGAUACUGCUGUGCUAGAGUACAGAAGGGGCAAUCGGAAUUCUUGGUGUAGCGGUGAAAUGCGUAGAUAUCAAGAGGAACACCUGAGGUGAAGACGGGUUGCUGGGCUGAUACUGACGCUGAAGCGCGAAAGCUAGGGUAGCAAACGGG
rnacentral:rRNA from 1 species